rnacentral:tRNA from 1 species
UCCUGACUAGCUCAAUCGGCAGAGCGAGCGGCUGUUAACCGCUAGGUUCUAGGUUCAAGUCCUAGGUCAGGAGCCA